GGAAACUGGAGGACUUGAGUGCAGAAGAGGAGAGUGGAAUUCCACGUGUAGCGGUGAAAUGCGUAGAGAUGUGGAGGAACACCAGUGGCGAAGGCGACUCUCUGGUCUGUAACUGACGCUGAGGAGCGAAAGCGUGGGGAGCGAACAGGAUUAGAUACCCUGGUAGUCCCCGCCGUAAACGAUGAGUGCUAGGUGUUAGGGGGUUUCCGCCCCUUAGUGCUGAAGUUAACGCAUUAAGCACUCCGCCUGGGGAGUACGGCCGCAAGGCUGAAACUCAAAAGAAUUGACGGGGACCCGCACAAGCGGUGGAGCAUGUGGUUUAAUUCGAAGCAACGCGAAGAACCUUACCAGGUCUUGACAUCCUUUGAACCCUCUAGAGAUAGAGCUUUCCCUUCGGGGACAAAGUGACAGGUGGUGCAUGGUUGUCGUCAGCUCGUGUCGUGAGAUGUUGGGUUAAGUCCCGCAACGAGCGCAACCCUUAAUCUUAGUUGCCAGCAUUCAGUUGGGCACUCUAAGGUGACUGCCGGUGACAAACCGGAGGAAGGUGGGGAUGACGUCAAAUCAUCAUGCCCCUUAUGACCUGGGCUACACACGUGCUACAAUGGACGGAACAAAGGGAAGCGAACCCGCGAGGUCCAGCAAAUCCCAUAAAACCGUUCUCAGCUCGGAUUGCAGGCUGCAACUCGCCUGCAUGAAGCCG
rnacentral:rRNA from 1 species